rnacentral:rRNA from 1 species
GCCUACGGGGGGCAGCAGUGAGGAAUAUUGGUCAAUGGGCGGAAGCCUGAACCAGCCAAGUCGCGUGAGGGAUUAAGGCCCUAUGGGUCGUAAACCUCUUUUGUCAGGGAGCAAGGCCUCUCACGUGUGGGAGGUUGGAGAGUACCUGAAGAAAAAGCAUCGGCUAACUCCGUGCCAGCAGCCGCGGUAAUACGGAGGAUGCGAGCGUUAUCCGGAUUUAUUGGGUUUAGAGGGUGCGCAGGCGGCACGGCAAGCCGGCGGUCAAAUCGCGGGGCUCAACCCCGCCCAGCCGUCG